UACGAAGGGGGCUAGCGUUGCUCGGAAUCACUGGGCGUAAAGGGCGCGUAGGCGGCUUGUACAGUCAGACGUGAAAUUCCUGGGCUCAACCUGGGGGCUGCGUUUGAUACGUAUGGGCUUGAGUUCGGAAGAGGGUCGUGGAAUUCCCAGUGUAGAGGUGAAAUUCGUAGAUAUUGGGAAGAACACCGGUGGCGAAGGCGGCUCACUGGCUCGUAUCUGACGCUCAGGCGCGACAGCGUGGGGAUCAAACAGG
rnacentral:rRNA from 1 species